GAAUAUUGCACAAUGGGCGAAAGCCUGAUGCAGCGACGCCGCGUGAGGGAUGACGGCCUUCGGGUUGUAAACCUCUUUCAGCAGGGAAGAAGCGAGAGUGACGGUACCUGCAGAAGAAGCGCCGGCUAACUACGUGCCAGCAGCCGCGGUAAUACGUAGGGCGCAAGCGUUGUCCGGAAUUAUUGGGCGUAAAGAGCUCGUAGGCGGCUUGUCACGUCGAUUGUGAAAGCUCGGGGCUUAACCCCGAGUCUGCAGUCGAUACGGGCUAGCUAGAGUGUGGUAGGGGAGAUCGGAAUUCCUGGUGUAGCGGUGAAAUGCGCAGAUAUCAGGAGGAACACCGGUGGCGAAGGCGGAUCUCUGGGCCAUUACUGACGCUGAGGAGCGAAAGCGUGGGGAGCGAACAGG
rnacentral:rRNA from 1 species